GAAAUGCGAUAAGUAGUGUGAAUUGCAGAAUUCAGUGAAUCAUCGAAUCUUUGAACGCACAUUGCGCCCCUUGGUAUUCCAUGGGGCAUGCCUGUUCGAGCGUCAUUUGUACCCUCAAGCUCUGCUUGGUGUUGGGUGUUUGUCCCGUCUCCGCGCGUGGACUCGCCCCAAAGUGAUUGGCAGCCGGCGUACUGGUCCCGGGGCGCAGCACAUGUCGCGCAAACGAGUGCCUUGGUACGGCGGCGUCCAUAAGCCCCUCUCUCACGCUCUUGACCUCGGAUCAGGUAGGGAUACCCGCUGAACUUAAGC
rnacentral:misc_RNA from 1 species